rnacentral:rRNA from 1 species
GUGCCAGCGCCGCGGUAAUACGGAGGGUGCAAGCGUUGUCCGGAUUUAUUGGGUUUAAAGGGUGCGUAGGCGGCCCGUUAAGUCAGCGGUGAAAUCCCAGGGCUCAACCCUGGAACUGCCGUUGAUACUGGCGGGCUUGAGUUCGGUCGAGGCGGGCGGAACUGGCGGUGUAGCGGUGAAAUGCUUAGAUACCGCCAAGAACCCCGAUUGCGUAGGCAGCUCGCUUGGCCGAAACUGACGUUGAGGCACGAAAGCGUGGGGAGCGAACAGGAUUAGAAACCCCGGUAGUCC